rnacentral:tRNA from 1 species
GAAGAUAUAGCUCAGUGGUAGAGUGUGUGCUUAGCAUGCAGGAGGUCCUGGGUUCAAUUCCCCAGUACCUCCA